UGACUGCAGAAAACCAGAUCCUGACAACACGAAACCAGGAGCUGGAGUCACAGAGGAACAACUUAACAGAACAAAUACAAAACAAAUGGAAUGAGCUCAACGUCAGUCGAGCUCAGUGGAGCAUUGAUGCCUACUGCCCAAAAGAAAACCAAAACAGAACGUGUAAAGCUUGUCAGGAUGGCUGGAUACUCUCAGAAUCCAGCUGCUAUGCGAUUAAUAGCCCUGAUGUUCCUGGUCAGAAAACCUGGGAAGAAGCUCGAGAAAACUGCAGAGGAAAGAUUUCAGAUCUGGUUGUUAAACUUGAUCAAAAGGAGAAGGAAUAUGUCGACUUUAACUGGGGCGAAUUAGGCUACUGGAUUGGCCUGAGAGCUGAAGCUGGAAAUUGGACGUGGAUCAAUGGAACUUUUCUAAAGACUCAAGACUACUUGACAGAACCACCUUCUGGUGAAGCUCAUUGUGUGAUUUCUGUCGGAGGGACACCUUCCAAGAAAUGGAAAGCUGUGAAGUGUGAUGAGAAACAUCGAUGGAUCUGUGAGAAGAAAGCUUUAUCUGUUUAAGAUCUGUAAUCAGAACUGAAGAGAUUACUGGAUAGUCUGCACAGAUGAAUGACGCGUACAAUAACAUCAGCUGGCUUGUAAAAAAGAAAAUUCGUAAAAUUCUACUUCAGAAUUUGUUGAAUUUAAUUUCAAAAUGUACGUACAAGGGAUUUUAUUUUUCCAAGAUGCUUGUGUAUGGUGUGUCUGCAUGUGUGUGUAUCACAAAAAGACACACUAACAGAUUUAAAUGUGUAUAUAUGUGUGAUACAGUUUUGGAUUAUUGAUACUGUGAGUCUGACUAUAGACCAGUUUGUAGUAAAAUACAGUGAUGACUAUACCGGGGGAGCUGAAGAGCAAAUAACAUCAAAUGUGGACUUCUUCUUCUUUGAUAGAGCCACAAUAAUGAAAUGUUGAAUAUCAGGAUAUGAUGAGAUCUAAGAGAGGAAGCUUUAAACUGUUCAGAAUCUCCAUAAAACCUGUCUUUUGUAAUUGUAACAUUUAAAUUGUUAAUACUG